rnacentral:rRNA from 1 species
UACGUAGGGGGCGAGCGUUGUCCGGAUUCAUUGGGCGUAAAGCGCGCGUAGGCGGCCCCGCAAGUCGGCCGUGAAAUCUCCGGGCUCAACUCGGAGGGGUCGGGCGAGACUGCGCGGCUCGAGGUGGGCAGAGGGCAGUGGAAUUCCGGGUGUAGUGGUGGAAUGCGUAGAGAUCCGGAGGAACACCAGUGGCGAAGGCGGCUGCCUGGGCCUGGCCUGACGCUGAGGCGCGAAAGCGUGGGGAGCAAUCCGG